AAAAGGGAGGAGCUCCUGAUGUGGGGGGUCUGGGUGUGUCCCCUAAAGAAAUAUCACGGUACGAUUGGUGAAAACCACGGAAAGUAGAGAGCGGAGCGAAUCAGAGGUGAGGGAGUGGUACUUCCGGCAGGAUUGCCCAAUCACAGUCAUGAGAAGUUUCUAUAAAGGCUGGAGAAUCGCUAGCACUCGUUCUUUCGGGAUUGAGACGAAAAGGGGUUACGCGGGUGAGUGGGUGUCGUGCGCCACGAUCCGGGGACGCACGGAGCGCGGAAGAGGUGGCUUAAACCCGCAGGCCGCCAGCCCUGGGUCCAGACUCGGCCCGGGCUCCUCUUUUGCACGUUUCAUAUCCCCCCUCCAGUUCUUAGGCGAGAGCGAACCCGCAGACGCACAUCUCCCUACAGGGCCAUCGGUGACCCUGCUGAAGACCUUGAACGUAACUCCGCAUCAGUCCGGGGGCCUGGUGGUGAGGUAGGAGUCAUGUCUGCAUGUGAAGUGCUUAGUAAUAAACCAAAGAUGGGGAAGUUGA